ACUAAAUAAUUCGUUAUUUUGUUUUUUUUUUGGCGCACCAAAAAUAUUCUCGUCACUUUAUAAUAUUAAUAUUGAACCACUGUACUCACAUGAACUGAUUUAAAUAUGUUUUUAGGACCUUUAUGGAUCUUGAGAGAGGAAAUGUCAUUGCUCCCUAUGUAGGCCUCACGGAGCCAUCGGAUUUAAACAAAAAUAUCUUAAUUUGUGCUCCGAAGAUCAACGAAGGUCUUACGGGUGUAAAACAGCACGAGGGCAUAUUUCCAAGAUAGUGGAUGCAGCCUCAUCGAAAGCCUGGGAGGCAUGGCAGUGCCAGGUAGCUCAUGGCACCGCAUGACGCUGUGUGAGCUCCAUCUGUUUGGCGCACGGCUGGUGACAAACUGCGAGAGAGGAGGCCUAGUGAGUUGCUGUGGGUUGCAGUGCGGUGGAACCAAUCGCCACCUUCCCACUCGGCCUAAAGAGAAAGCCCCCCGGGAAACCCUUCAUCACGCCUAGGACACAACCCAACACACAAUUUGUGCUCCACCAAACAUGGAGCCAACGUCUACCAACCCUGACUUCACCCGUGAUCAGUAAAAAAAAAAGAAAAAAGAGGGCAGCAGAAAAUGAAAUAAAAAUGAAGGAUUUGAGGCAAAUAAACCAAAGAGAUCAAAGCAUUAAUAACUAUUAAUAACCCUGUACAGCCAAAAAUGAAAAGUCUGUUAUUAUUCACUCAUGUCGUUCCAAACUUGAGUGCUUUUUUUUUUUUUUCAGGGAAUACAACUUUAUGAAGAAUUUUCACACAUCUGUCAAUCUUCAAAAAGGCCACCAUAAAAUUUGUCCAUAUGAUUUGUGCACUACAUUUCAAGUUUUCAGAUUUUUUUAAAUAUAUAAAUAAAUUAAGUAAGUACUGUUACAGAAAGGCACAAAAUCACUUUCUCGAACAUUCACAUUCACAGUUCUUUGCUGGUGAAAUGAUCUUACCAAUCUAUUCUUAGACAAAGAUAUUAAAUGUCUUCAGAAGGUUUAAAAUACAUAAGUUGUAUUAGACUACUUUUUUAAAAAACAUUUUCUGUUUCUGCUGUUCUACUUCAUGCACUACCUACUCAUAUUAGGUAAGCUCAGUCUCUUAUUUAAAUAUUUUCUUAAGACAUUUUUAGGAUAGCUUUUAUUUGAUUUUCUCCUAUUAUGCAUGUUUAUAUUCUUUUCUUGUUUCUCUGUAAGCACAUAGAGAAGCUUACUUUUAA